rnacentral:rRNA from 1 species
AGAGUUUGAUCCUGGCUCAGAUUGAACGCUGGCGGCAUGCCUUACACAUGCAAGUCGAACGGCAGCGCGGGGCAACCUGGCGGCGAGUGGCGAACGGGUGAGUAAUAUAUCGGAACGUGCCCUGGAGUGGGGGAUAACGCAGCGAAAGUUGCGCUAAUACCGCAUACGAUCUAAGGAUGAAAGCAGGGGACCGCAAGGCCUUGUGCUCCUGGAGCGGCCGAUAUCUGAUUAGCUAGUUGGUGGGGUAAAGGCCUACCAAGGCAUCGAUCAGUAGCUGGUCUGAGAGGACGACCAGCCACACUGGAACUGAGACACGGUCCAGACUCCUACGGGAGGCAGCAAUGGGGAAUUUUGGACAAUGGGCGAAAGCCUGAUCCAGCAAUGCCGCGUGAGUGAAGAAGGCCU